AAAGCUUAUGAGCCUCCAGCCGGUGCCAUGUAUUCCGCUAUUUAACCUCAACGGGGUUUGCUUUGAAACGAACUGAAGUUCCCCUUCAACUCAGCCGGAGCUCAAUUUCAGGAAAUUUCAAUUGGAAGGAAUCAAAUCAUGGUGUUAAAAAACAAGAAGAAACGCAAAAUUUUGUUGCGAAACAACAAUGUGGGUGAGGCAGAAGGAGAGGAUAGCAUAAGUAAUUUACCUGAUGCACUGAUACAUCAUAUUCUUUCUUUCCUUCCAACCAAAUGUGGUAUGUCUACCUGCAUUUUAUCAAAAAAGAUGGAAGUACGUAGUUUAUUCUAUCCCUGUUCUUGAUUUUCGGAACUGGCGAGCUACUAAAAGCAGAAACUAUCAUCGUGAGACCAAACGGUUCAUGAAUUUUCUGGACAAGGUACUAUUUCGAUAUGAGAAGUUCAAUGUCCAGAAAUUUUAUCUUGACUGGGAUAGGUUUUUGGAUGUGUCUCUGGUUAAUAGAUGGAUCAGUGCUAUCAUGAAGCAUAAAAUUGAAGAAUUUGGUCUAUCCUUAGAAGUUUUAGAGGCAUCCUCUAUAAUUCCAAUAGUAGUUUCCGUUUGUGAUUCAUUGACACUGUUGGAAUUGGAUUUGUUUGUGAUAACUGGCGCCAGGUUCACAAUUCCUAACACGGUUUCUUUUCCAAAGCUCAAGAUACUUCGGCUCACACGCCUUAGUUUUUUGGAUGAAACCUCGAGCAGUACAUCAUUUCUAACUGCCCAUCCUUGAAGAAUUGAGUUUGUGUGAUUCUUUGAUGUCUGAAGAGUUGAGCAUUGCGAACCCUGCACUGAAGCACUUGUCCAUUACUUUCUGCGAGUUAACAGAGUGCACGGUGAAGAUUUCUGCUCCGAAUCUAUUGACCAUUUUCUACAGACGAUGCCUACCAGCAGACUUUGUCCUCAAUGGCUUUCCGUCACUAGUUGAGGCAGAUGUUGAUUGUUUGAUCGGUGAGGAAUACGGGAACACGAACAAAGUAUUUUUCAAGCUUUUCGAAAAGCUUUCAAGUGCAAAAAAUUCUUAAGAUGUGUCCUAGCUCAUUUCCGGUUCUGAAAAAGGCAGAUAUCCUCUUAACCGGUUUGCCUACAUUUAACAAUUUGAUCCUACUGGAAGUUACCUCAGGAUAUUCUUCUUCGUAUUUUGGUUCGUAUUCUCAUUCGCCAGAUCCUACUGUUACCAUUGUAGCUUCUCCAGAGAUCUCCAAAGACCUUCAGAAACAGCUAAAGGUAACGAAGCUGUUACUAAUGUUUCCAUAACCCGAAAAUUGUGUGUUUAAGUUCUUGACGAUCUCUGAAGACACUUAACAAUACUCUCAAGUAUGUCAGUGUUCAGUGUAGUUAUUCUAAUUUUUUGUGAUCA